UACGAAGGGGGCUAGCGUUGCUCGGAAUCACUGGGCGUAAAGGGUGCGUAGGCGGGUCUUUUAAGUCAGGGGUGAAAUCCUGGAGCUCAACUCCAGAACUGCCUUUGAUACUGAGGAUCUUGAGUUCGGGAGAGGUGAGUGGAACUGCGAGUGUAGAGGUGAAAUUCGUAGAUAUUCGCAAGAACACCAGUGGCGAAGGCGGCUCACUGGCCCGUUACUGACGC
rnacentral:rRNA from 1 species